UGUAAACAAAACCAAAAAAAAAAAGGCAUAAGAUUAAUAAAGAUGUAUUAAAUACAUAAGAUUAACACAUAAAUUUCGUUAUACAAAAGCAUUUUGAUAAACCGAACCAAAUCAUCUAGAUAGGAAAAUUGAAAACAUGUGAUUGAAUAUCUUGUUUUAUACUUUAUUUACAUAUAAAACUUUAAGAAACAUGAAAGAGAUAUUUGGCAGAUUUAAUCAUGCCAACAAAGAUUGAUUUAUCUAAUAAAUAUCUAUUGUGUCCCUGGGUACUGGACAUUGUUAUUAGAGAAAAGAAAUAAUAUGAAACCUCUACCGUAAUAUCAUAGAGUCUAGGAAAGAAAAUUCAUCUAUUCUUCUAUCCAGAUUAGACUAAGAG
rnacentral:lncRNA from 1 species